AAUGCGCUUGCGCACGUGCUGUGUACCAGUCCCUGAGAGGGGCGCGUGCCGCGGAGCCAGGCCAAGUCCGAGACCCGGUCACCAGGCAUCCGCUAGGGGCAGUCAGCUGUGCCUUCUCUUUCGGACCUGUUCCGUGCUCCCACGUGCUUCUGCUUCUCCACUGGCUGGGAUCCGCCGGGCUCGGGACGCAGUAAUAAUUUUUCACCAUGCAUCGGAAAAAGGUGGAUAACCGAAUCCGGAUUCUCAUUGAGAAUGGGGUAGCUGAGCGGCAAAGAUCUCUCUUUGUUGUAGUCGGAGAUCGAGGAAAAGAUCAGGUGGUAAUACUUCAUCACAUGUUAUCCAAAGCAACCGUGAAGGCUCGGCCUUCAGUGCUGUGGUGUUAUAAGAAAGAGCUGGGGUUUAGCAGUCACCGGAAGAAAAGAAUGCGACAGCUGCAGAAGAAAAUAAAGAAUGGAACAUUGAACAUAAAGCAGGAUGACCCCUUUGAACUCUUCAUAGCAGCCACAAACAUUCGCUACUGCUACUACAAUGAGACCCACAAGAUCCUGGGCAAUACCUUCGGCAUGUGUGUGCUGCAGGAUUUCGAAGCCUUAACUCCAAACUUGCUGGCCAGGACUGUAGAAACAGUGGAAGGUGGUGGGCUAGUGGUCAUCCUCCUACGGACCAUGAACUCACUCAAGCAGUUGUACACAAUGACCAUGGAUGUGCAUUCCAGGUACAGAACUGAGGCCCAUCAGGAUGUGGUGGGAAGAUUUAAUGAAAGGUUUAUUCUCUCUCUGGCCUCUUGUAAGAAGUGUCUCGUCAUUGAUGACCAGCUCAAUAUCCUGCCCAUCUCCUCCCACGUUGCCACCAUUGAGGCCCUGCCUCCCCAGACUCCGGAUGAGAGUCUUGGUCCUUCCGAUCUGGAGCUGAGGGAGUUGAAGGAGAGCUUGCAGGACACCCAGCCUGUGGGUGUGUUGGUGGACUGCUGUAAGACUCUAGACCAGGCCAAAGCUGUCUUGAAAUUUAUUGAGGGCAUCUCUGAAAAGACCCUGAGGAGUACUGUUGCACUCACAGCUGCCCGAGGACGGGGAAAAUCUGCAGCCCUGGGAUUGGCGAUUGCUGGGGCGGUGGCAUUUGGGUACUCCAAUAUCUUUGUUACCUCCCCAAGCCCUGAUAACCUCCAUACUCUGUUUGAAUUUGUAUUUAAAGGAUUUGAUGCUCUGCAAUAUCAGGAACAUCUGGAUUAUGAGAUUAUCCAGUCUCUAAAUCCUGAAUUUAACAAAGCAGUGAUCAGAGUGAAUGUAUUUCGAGAACACAGGCAGACUAUUCAGUAUAUACAUCCUGCAGAUGCUGUGAAACUAGGCCAGGCUGAACUAGUUGUGAUUGAUGAAGCCGCCGCCAUCCCCCUCCCCUUGGUGAAGAGCCUCCUUGGCCCCUACCUUGUUUUCAUGGCAUCCACCAUCAAUGGCUAUGAGGGCACUGGCCGGUCACUGUCCCUCAAGCUAAUUCAGCAGCUCCGUCAACAGAGCGCCCAGAGCCAGGUCAGCACCACCGCUGAGAAUAAGACCACGACGACAGCCAGAUUGGCAUCAGCACGGACACUGCAUGAGGUUUCCCUCCAGGAGUCAAUCCGAUAUGCCCCUGGGGACGCAGUGGAGAAGUGGCUGAAUGACUUGCUGUGCUUGGAUUGCCUCAACAUCACUCGGAUAGUCUCAGGCUGCCCCUUGCCUGAAGCUUGUGAACUCUACUAUGUUAAUAGAGAUACCCUCUUUUGCUACCACAAGGCCUCUGAAGUUUUCCUCCAACGGCUUAUGGCCCUCUACGUGGCUUCUCACUACAAGAACUCUCCCAAUGAUCUCCAGAUGCUCUCCGAUGCACCUGCUCACCAUCUCUUCUGCCUUCUGCCUCCCGUGCCCCCCACCCAGAAUGCCCUUCCAGAAGUGCUUGCUGUUAUCCAGGUGUGCCUUGAAGGGGAGAUUUCUCGCCAGUCCAUCUUGAACAGUCUGUCUCGAGGCAAGAAGGCUUCAGGGGACCUGAUUCCAUGGACAGUGUCAGAACAGUUCCAAGAUCCAGACUUUGGUGGUCUUUCUGGUGGAAGGGUUGUUCGCAUUGCUGUUCACCCGGAUUAUCAAGGGAUGGGCUAUGGCAACCGUGCUCUGCAGCUGCUGCAGAUGUACUACGAAGGCAGGUUUCCUUGUCUGGAGGAAAAGGUCCUUGAGACACCACAGGAAAUUCACACCAUAAGCAGUGAGGCUGUCAGCUUGCUGGAAGAGGUCAUCACUCCCCGGAAGGACCUGCCUCCUUUACUCCUCAAAUUGAAUGAGAGGCCCGCUGAGCGCCUGGAUUACCUGGGUGUUUCCUAUGGCUUGACCCCCAGGCUCCUCAAGUUCUGGAAACGAGCUGGAUUUGUUCCUGUUUAUCUGAGACAGACCCCGAAUGACCUGACUGGGGAGCACUCGUGCAUCAUGCUGAAGACACUCACUGAUGAGGAAGAGGCUGACCAGGGAGGCUGGCUUGCAGCCUUCUGGAAAGAUUUCCGACGACGGUUCCUAGCCUUGCUCUCCUACCAGUUCUGCACCUUCUCUCCUUCCCUGGCUCUGAACAUCAUUCAGAACAGGAACAUGGGGAAGCCAGCCCAGCCGGCCCUAAGCCGGGAGGAGCUGGAAGCACUCUUCCUCCCCUAUGACCUGAAGCGGCUGGAGAUGUAUUCACGGAACAUGGUGGACUAUCACCUCAUCAUGGACAUGAUCCCGGCCAUCUCCCGCGUCUAUUUCCUGAACCAGCUGGGGGACCUGGCCCUGUCCGCGGCUCAGUCGGCUCUUCUCUUGGGGAUUGGCCUGCAGCAUAAGUCUGUGGACCAGCUGGAAAAGGAGAUUGAGCUGCCCUCAGGCCAGUUGAUGGGACUUUUCAACCGGAUCAUCCGCAAAGUUGUGAAGCUGUUUAAUGAAAUUCAGGAAAAGGCCAUUGAGGAGCAGAUGGUGGCAGUGAAAGAUGUGGUCAUGGAGCCCACGAUGAAGACCCUCAGUGAUGACCUGGAUGAAGCAGCAAAGGAAUUUCAGGAGAAACACAAGAAAGAAGUGGGGAAGCUGAAGAGCAUGGACCUCUCCGAAUACAUAAUCCGUGGGGACGAUGAAGAGUGGAAUGAAGUUUUGAACAAAGCUGGGCCAAAUGCCUCGAUCAUCAGCCUGAAAAGUGACAAGAAAAGGAAGUUAGAAGCCAAACAAGAACCCAAACAGAGCAAGAAGUUGAAGAAUAGAGAUACAAAGAACAAAAAAGAUAUGAAACUGAAGCGGAAGAAAUAGUGAAGAGAAACUUUGGCAUCAGUGUUUGAUCAUGGGAAGAUACUCUCACUUCCUGAACCCUCUCUGGCUGGACUGUUAAAAGCAACAAGAGGUCCUGGCACACCUGCAAGCUGGCCACGGAUUCAGCCUCCAGGCCUGUGUCAGUCUGUGAGCUCAACCUGGCUGAAGGCAGAGUCACUCCCAAAUGGGUCUCCUUAGAACUUGAUGGCUGGGCACUGCCACCUAGAAUUGCCAGGAGUCUCUCUCUCCCCACCCAGUCCAGGGCCCUCCUUUCCUAUAAGUUCAUAUUUUGCUUUGGGCCAUCUUUUUAGGCUCAUUCCCGCACAUGUGGAAGCCAUGUUGCCUCUCGUCCCCGUGAGGCCCUUAAGUACAUUGCUUUCUGGUGGUGCCCAGGGGGCUGCUGCAGGGCCUCUGGGUCUCUCUUUGUGGCCUUGUGCCUGGAGCAGGAGGACCUCCAGUUCGUCCUGGCAUCCAUGGCAGCCCGCAGUUAGGUACACCAGGGUUUGCUGAUGUCGUCUUGUGCUGUUCCACUCUUGGCUCCAGUAGAGCCACUGUCCCAGAAACGCCUGAGCCUGUAGUUUAUGUAGGAUGCCACAUCUGCGUCCUCAAGACCUGUUAUCUCAUCCAUUUGGGAGAAGAUGUUGGGAAAGGCCAUUUUGCUCGCAGGGGUGAGGGGAGGGAUAGAGAAUCUAUUUUUAAUAAAUAAUACUCUAGAAAGACCAGCUGCCUGUGAGCGUUCUGAAAUCCACACACGUGGAAGUUUCUUCUGGUGGGUCUUGGCUGCCUGGUGGAAUUUGGAAGGCGUUGGUAUCAAGGCCAGAGGUGAGCAGUGUAUCCAGGGCUUCCCAGCCCAGAGGUCUGCGGGAGAAGUGGCAGGUGGUUGUGGUCACCUCGAGGGGCUUGGUGUGGUGGCUGGAAGCCAGCUAGAACUGCCUCAUUUCCUUCCCAGCUCCUUCCAGGUCACUUGGUCCCUUCUGUUUGUUGGGAACCGAGAUUACCUGGUGUCUUUACACAUACUUUGGUGUGUUUGUUUCAUGGUAUCCAGGCUAGUGAAUCUGCAGCCCUGAUGUGUUGUCUAGGUUCAGAGAAGGACAGGGAAGGAAACAGUAACUUCUCAGCCUAAGGGUAUUUCAUAUGCAGCUCCCAGGACUUGUUCCCAGAGGGAGAAGAGCAGGUUCUGUGCGUGACCCUAGCGCUGCUGAGCCUUCACCGAGGCUGUCGGGACAUGAGCUUAGGGGCCUUUCAUUUCUUGGAACUGAAGUUUCCUGGCCACAGACCUCUGUUAGGUCUGUAGGAAAUUUUGCUGGUGGUGGGGUGAGGGCAUGAAAAUAAUUUUUAUUUAUUUUCUCAGGUGGGUGCCCAAGCCUGCCUUUCAAAGAGGGUUUUCUUAGAGUGUGACCAAAAGCAGAGUCACAUUCUCAAAUGGUCAGAGCUGGAUGGGACUGUGCAAGUUGUCCAGGCAUAUCAUCCUACAGGAGCAGACUGGUACCCGCCACUUCUGGAGAGGCGUUUUCUUUGGAGACCGCUAAGGCACCAGCUUAUGAUUGCCUGUGGACCUGCUGGAGCGGAGUGAAAUCCCUGUGGAUGCAACCCAUGCGCUCAGCACCUGGGUACUCAAGGGCUCCAGUAAGAAGGCUGAGACUUGUGUUGUCCCGGGAACGCCACCUCUAGAAGCCAACUCCAAGACCCUCUCUCCUGAGUCCCUGCCCGGAUGACAAGCUCCCUCCGUGGAAUGUUUCCCUACAAUCCUCAUAAGAACACCGUGAGCCCAGGAGGGAAGUUCCUAUUUGCAGUUGGGGAAACUGAGGCCCAGGGAAGGAAGAUGACUUGGCUCAAGUCCCUCAGCUCCCCUGAUGCCUGCAGCAGGACUCGCGUCAUGCCUGGCCCCACGUGACUCAUUGCUGGUGUGAUCUAAAUUCUACACAGGGAGUAGCAAUGGGGGGUCUCUGAAGGGAUGUUGGAGGACGCUGUCUCCUGCCUUCCCCUGUCUGUACAAGGAUCCAAUGUGGAGGUGAGAGUCCAUCACGGACUCUGUCUCAGGUGUGCUCCCUCAAAGAGAAAGCGCGGAGCCCAGGCCCAGAGGCCCAGAGCUCCCCCUCGACAGCCCAAGCCCGCCUUGGGCUCCCAGAUGAGGUGGUCCAGGACUGGGAACUAUUUAGUUCUGCUGAGGUUUCAGUUACAAACUCGGCCAUCACGCUGGAGCCUAGUGAGGUUCCCAGUUGGAAAAAGAAAAACAAUUCUUUCUGGCUGGCUGAAGAAACGGCCCCAGCAAGGAGCUGGCAAGUGUGUAAGUAAACACAGCUCCAGCCGGCACAGUCGGGCUCUGUCAAGACCAGCCGUGAGGCUGCAGAGGCACCAGAGGGUCUAGGAGAAGGCCCAACUGCAGGGAGAGAAGUCGGGAGACGGGCCUGCCAGCCUCGUUCAGGCAUCAGGAGAUGCUGGCCAAGGCCCACCCUGGAGAUGUCAGCCUCUCCCCACCUCGUGAGGUCUGGGAAGCUCCCACGGCCUCCUUCAGCCCCUGCUGGAGCCUGGAUGGCGAGCUCACGAUGGCAUAGCAGUCGUCACCGUGGCCACAUGUGUGCUCCCCAGUCUCCAGCGAUUCCUGCAGCCUCUCUAGGACCUGCCUCCUGCCUGAUCUGAGCGUGACUCCACCUCCCGCUCCACUCACCUGGACGUGUUGCUAAAGCUGCCCAUUCUCCACUACGUGACCUUGAGCAAGUUACUCAACUUCUCCAUGCCUCCGACUCCUCCUCUAUCAAGAGGCGAUAAUAACAUACCUACCUCCCUGGAACUGUGCUGUGGAGGCUUCGAUGGAAACCAAGCAAAGCACUCACAACCCUGCCUGCCUAAGUGUUAGUGAUGGCUGCCCAGACCACCUGUCUAGCGGUUAGAGCUCAGUACCCAUGCAACAGGCUCUGAAGCUGCAGCCCCACAACGGGAUGGCUACCUCUGCACAAGGAAAGACCUGGAUGCUCUAUUGAUUCAACAUAAUACAGAAGGCACUGAGAAUAGGGUGGACAAUGUCAGCCUACGUACAGCUGCCCACAAAGGUGAGCUCCUGGGGGAGGGUCAUCCCUCCGAGAAGAGGGCGGCACCAAGACCCACACACCUGAAAAAUAUGGUACUUCAUGUCGCUGAUCUCAAUGGUCUUGCUGCUGUCCCCAUCCUGUUCUGAUUUAUUGGUCAUUAGUGUCUUGAACCUGGGGUAAAGGAGACAAAGCAAGGCAGAUUUUGAACCUUUUACUCCACCACUGUGUGGCGAUGGCACCGUGUGUCACCUCACUGGCUACCAGGAGACAGAGUAUUUUAAAAAUUACUGCGGUGCUCCUAAAAUAAUUUUCAGCAAGUGCCAUUUUACACCGUCUUAGGAAGACACCUGGGCUGAGCCCGAUUCUGUCCCCACCACCCACCAUACAAGCGACCUGACUCCUGUGGCCAGAAUGCUGACUCUUCAUUCCGGAAUAUGUUUGCUAAUAAUCAACAAAGCAGUAACUCGGCCAGAAA